CAGUCGCCACUGUAAUACGUAGGUGGCAAGCGUUGUCCGGAUUUAUUGGGCGUAAAGCGAGCGCAGGCGGUUCCUUAAGUCUGAUGUGAAAGCCCACGGCUCAACCGUGGAAGGUCAUUGGAAACUGGGGAACUUGAGUGCAGAAGAGGAGAGUGGAAUUCCAUGUGUAGCGGUGAAAUGCGUAGAUAUAUGGAGGAACACCAGUGGCGAAGGCGACUCUCUGGUCUGUAACUGACGCUGAGGCUCGAAAGCGUGGGGAGCAAACAGGAUUAGAUACCCCGGUAGUCCCUGUCUCUUAUAC
rnacentral:rRNA from 1 species